rnacentral:rRNA from 1 species
AAGGAAUAUUGCUCAAUGGGAGAAAUCCUGAAGCAGCAACGCCGCGUGGAGGAUGAAGGGUCUAUGACUUGUAAACUCCUGUAAAGAAGGAAAAAAUUCCCAUUUGAUGGGAGAUGAUGGUACUUCUGGAGUAAGCCCCGGCUAACUACGCGCCAGCAGCCGCGGUAAUACGUAGGGGGCAAGCGUUGUCCGGAUUUACUGGGUGUAAAGGGUGCUCAGGCGGAUUUGUAAGUCAGAGGUGAAAUCUUACAGCUUAACUGUGAAACUGCCUUUGAUACUGCAAGCCUAGAGUAUGGAAGAGAGUGAUGGAAUAUCUGGUGUAGCAGUGAAAUGCGUAGAUAUCAGAUAGAACACCCAUGGCGAAGGCAGUCACUUGGUCCAUUACUGACGCUAAAGCACGAAAGCGUGGGUAGCAAACA